rnacentral:rRNA from 1 species
UUGCAUGGCUGUCGUCAGCUCGUGUCGUGAGAUGUUCGGUUAAGUCCGCUAACGAGCGCAACCCGUCGUUCGUGUGUUACAAGUGUCACACAAUACCGCCGGUAUUAAGUCGGAGGAAGGUGCGGAUGACGUCAAGUCAGCAUGACCUUUAUAUCCAGGGCUACACACACGCUACAAUGGUCGGCACAAUAGGUUGCCAAGUCGUGAGACGGAGCCAAUCCUCCAAAAGCCGGCCUCAGUUCAGAUUGCAGGCUGCAACUCGCCUGCAUGAAGUUGGAGUUGCUAGUAAACGCAGGUCAGCUAUACUGCGUUGAAUACGUUCCCGGGGAUU